AUGGAAAUACCGAGCUUGUAAAAGUAUCUGACGGAUACCAAAAGUGUCAGUCAGGCCAGACAAGUGUUACAUGCGAAGGCGAAACGUCCACGAAAAGAAUGAUAACAAGUGGAAAAGUACACAAACAGAUCGGAUGGAAAUACAAUAUGGUUAAAAGGGAAACCAAGCUAAAAAUCGAGUGUUUCAAUUCAAGUGAAAAAGUGAAUGAAUAAAAUCUACCAGCGUAUGACAGAUUUCGUUUCAAUACCUCUUCUUUCCUCUAAGAAUCAUCAGUUUAAUGGAUCCCACCAGAGUUAUAUUUAUUAUAUUCCACGCUCCACAUGCUCCACAUAUCUCAACAUCACAUCGAAAUAUAUAUCGGAGGGCAUAUCGUGUCCAGACCUUUGAUGUGAUACCGAUUCCGUUACGGAUCCGUUUUCUGGACUCUUUAAAAAUGCCAGGCACAAAAUGCCCCAGAAAAGAAAUGCAAAAGUUGUAUAAGAAGCGACCAAAAGACAAAAAAUAUCUUCAAGUAAACCUUAUAAAACGAUCUCAAUUGGUUCGCUUUUUGGAGCUUUGGUAUUCCCCCCCUUUUGCCAAAUUCUCUUUAAUGCGAAAUUCGCAAUUUUCGUUGACAUUUGCAAAUUCUUGUCACAAAAAGCGAAAAAUUUGUUUCAGGCGAAUUUCAACUAUUCAGCUGCGGCCUCUUUUUCGCAUUAAAUGUUGGAUUUUAUGGCCGGAUUGCUGGAGUUGCAUUUAAAAGGAGGCAUGCCCCUCCGCACUCACAAGUCGCUGCUUUUCAUGCAAAAAAAUUGAAUGAAAGCUGGCCAACGAUGACAGACAGCCAAGUAGGUGAGUUUGAGUUGAGUGUUUAUGGUGCAUUUGACACAGCAAAUUUGCCGGCAAAUCGCAUCAAAUAUUUAUGUUAAUGCCCCCUCACAAUCCCCUUUCCACCGAUUUAAAUGAAAGUAGUUCAAUUCACUGGCAAAAAUGUUUGUCCAUGGCAUACAAAUUGUCUCCGAGCUCUUUGUUAAAGAACUUUUACUGGUCGGUGAAGGAAAUGUGUCACAAAUGAGCAGGAAAAGAAAAGGCGAGAUGGUGCAAAUGGGGAACGGAGAAGGCCAAGAGAUCACCGGAGAAUGACAGGGCGAAUUUUUCAGCCUGACUUAAAGGGACACUGAAAAAUUAACCCUAGCUUUGACAAUAAUACAUUUUAAACCAAUUAUUGAAUCUAAUUGCUCAUUACAUAUCCGAAAGUAAUCUUUGUAACAAAGGAUUAAUGAUUAAAUGCUACAUAAAUGAAAUAAAUAUAUGAAUUGAGUUCUU
ensembl:ncRNA lncRNA:CR46031 long non-coding RNA:CR46031